AAUUACGUACCAAUCAGGUUACUUGCGGGAUGAACCAAAUACAACAAUUUGAAAAAAUUACUAUAAAAUAUAUAUAAGUCUAGCUACUAUACCCUUAUGAGUAUAGACUCUAUUGUACUCAUAAGUUUCGGUCGUUAAAUAUACUCCUUUAAUAAUUUCCACCUGUUGGAUCAUACUAUUCAUGCCAGCUAACUACUCAAUCUUAGAAAAUCACUAUUAUUCUAAUCAGGGAUUACUAUAUAUUAUCACAACCGCAUAUUCUUAAUUUCUUCCCACAAUCAAAAAUUUGUAAGUACAAAAAAUGUUAUAUUUAUUAAAAUAUAAUUAUUUUAAUUCUAAAAUAUUAUAUAAUUCUAACCGAACAACAACGCAAACCAAAAGCCCCCUCAAAACUUUUAAACAGAAACUGUAUGGCAACACUGCCCUUAACAAGUAUUAAAGCAGGCGCUACUUAAUAAUUAAAGUAAGGACAGCAGGUGCACUGUGAAGGGCAAAAAUUUUCUGGGCAUCGUCCCCAAAUUAUUAGUUUGGGGAUGAUGCCGAUGGGUGCCGCGUGGCCCAUCUGACGGUUGCCCUCCCUCUUCCUAUGUUGCUUUUGAAAGAUUUAUCCGACACAAAAAAAAAUCGCAGUGAAAAUUAAAAUUGUAUUUUCGAAAAACAAAAAUCCAUAUUACAUAUGAAUAAAAAAAAAAAACAAAUCAAUCCAAUGCUGGCGAAUUAUUCUCAUGUUACAAUGUAAAAUAAUAAUCUAACCUAAACAGAUUUGAAGUUCAGGCUACAUCACCUCGGACCAGCUAAGGUCUAUUGAUCUACUGUACGAUUGAAACUGAAAUUCCGAUUAGCCGCGCACGUGCGUGGCCUCUACGCGUAUCCAUAUGGAAUUGAUACAAAUCCAAUGCCUUCCGUCGCACGGAACAGAUGAGUCGCAGAUUACAAAGACGGUGCUAGCAGUCUUCUGAUAUCUACGUUCCCUUUAGGGCCCGUUUGGUUCGAGUUAUGUAAUAUUACAAAGCACCUGCAUGCUUACUUUAUCUACGUUCGCUAACAAGCACCUGCAUGCUUACUUUAUUGUCCCUACACUAAUGACUUGAGAUUCGUCACCUCAAUAUAGAAGUGUAGCAUACACCGGCCUAUCCGGAAAUAUCAUUGUCCGUAUAUUAUUCCUAUGGCUAGUAGCGUUUAAGAAUCUUAUACAAAGAAAUAUAUAUCUCAAAUUCUUAACUCUUAGAAAUAUAUUUUUUUAACGAAGAUUCAAUGGACGAUUCAUAUAAAUAUAUUGUAUGUACUGCUAACAAUAAAUAUGAAUAAAAUUUAUCCUUUAUUAAAUAAAAAAAAUACUUAAUAUAUUCACAAGUCUAUGUCACCGAUUGACUUUAGGGUAUAUCACUAACAGCUUUUUCUCUUUUUCUCUAAAAACACGGGG
rnacentral:lncRNA from 1 species